CUGAGUGACUUGCUGUGGGCAGAAUCAUAUAUAUGGUAAGGUGGUAGAUUUCCUCCCCUGUUGGAUAUUAGCGAAGCAGAUUCCACUUGUUCCUCCUUCCUAAAGGAUUCAGAGCUGAUGAAGCACACUGGCUUUUAAGAGGAGAGACAGGAGACGGAGGUUUCUGCUGGGUCCUGCUGUCCCCGUUUAUCUUUUGGUUCCAGCACAUCACUUACUGUACCACGCCCCAGCGCUCUCGCCUUACACAGAUAGGCAGUUUCAAAUUUGUAAUACAUUUUUACCUAUAUUUGUUUUUCAACUAGACCAGGCUUUUUUUUUCAAAAUAAGGCCAAAAGAUGAAAUGGAUGAAUACAACGAGUUGGCAUUUUGAAUAGAGAACAGCAAUCUGAUACUUUCUUGUGGUUGAAUCGCCUGAUGCCGCCUUUUAAGAUCAUAAAAAGUAUAAAGUAAGGCCAGAGCCUGAUAAGAUAAGUAUAAGAUAUAAAGCUCAGGUCACUGUAGAUUAACAGUAGUUAUGUCUAUAAAUUGUAACUAUAAAACCACUAAAGCGCUUCUGAUGUGCGAAACGAAGCUACAUCAAAAAUAAUUAUGUAGUAUUAAAAUGCCGCGAUGUAACUGGAAAAUAAGCAUUGUGUCGUCGUAAAACCGAAAGAAUGAAAUUUUGCGGUGCUUGGAAGGACCACGCGGAAGCCCUGUUGAUCUGUUGACGAGUUGGUGUCCCUCCCACUCUGAGGCCAUCGUCAGCCGCCAGCACAAAGUAAUCAAAGAUCCCGGCAAUUUAAUCAUUGAAACGCUCACUCCAGAGACGACAGCAGUGUCAAUAACAUGCUAUGUCAUUAUCUGUUUGUAUUUCGCAUCGACAGUGUCAGAUAAACAGAGUGGAAAAUUAAGAUUAAAAAUAUGGUAAUUUCA